rnacentral:rRNA from 1 species
UACGUAGGGUGCGAGCGUUGUCCGGAAUUAUUGGGCGUAAAGAGCUCGUAGGCGGUUUGUUGCGUCGGCCGUGAAAACCUGCAGCUUAACUGUGGGCCUGCGGCCGAUACGGGCAGACUUGAGUUCGGUAGGGGAGACUGGAAUUCCUGGUGUAGCGGUGAAAUGCGCAGAUAUCAGGAGGAACACCGGUGGCGAAGGCGGGUCUCUGGGCCGAGACUGACGCUGAGGAGCGAAAGCGUGGGGAGCGAACAGG